AUUGAACGCUGGCGGCAUGCCUAACACAUGCAAGUCGAACGGCAGCACAGCAGUAGCAAUACUGUGGGUGGCGAGUGGCGGACGGGUGAGGAAUACGUCGGAAUCUGCCCAGUCGUGGGGGAUAACUAGCCGAAAGGUUAGCUAAUACCGCAUACGACCGAGAGGUGAAAGCGGGGGACCGCAAGGCCUCGCGCGAUUGGAUGAGCCGACGUCGGAUUAGCUAGUUGGCGGGGUAAAGGCCCACCAAGGCGACGAUCCGUAGCUGGUCUGAGAGGAUGAUCAGCCACACUGGAACUGAGACACGGUCCAGACUCCUACGGGAGGCAGCAGUGGGGAAUAUUGGACAAUGGGCGCAAGCCUGAUCCAGCAAUGCCGCGUGUGUGAAGAAGGC
rnacentral:rRNA from 1 species